ACGGAAGGCAGCAGUGGGGAAUAUUGGACAAUGGGGGAAACCCUGAUCCAGCGACGCCGCGUGAGUGAAGAAGUAUUUCGGUACGUAAAGCUCUAUCAGAAGGAAGAAAAUGACGGUACUUGACUAAGAAGCCCCGGCUAACUACGUGCCAGCAGCCGCGGUAAUACGUAGGGGGCAAGCGUUAUCCGGAUUUACUGGGUGUAAAGGGAGCGUAGACGGUAAGGCAAGUCUGAAGUGAAAUGCAUGGGCUCAACCCAUGAACUGCUUUGGAAACUGUCAAACUAGAGUGCAGGAGAGGUAAGUGGAAUUCCUAGUGUAGCGGUGAAAUGCGUAGAUAUUAGGAGGAACACCAGUGGCGAAGGCGGCUUACUGGACUGUAACUGACGUUGAGGCUCGAAAGCGUGGGGAGCAAACAGGAUUAGAUACCCUGGUA
rnacentral:rRNA from 1 species